rnacentral:rRNA from 1 species
CCUACGGGUGGCAGCAGUGAGGAAUAUUGGUCAAUGGGCGCGAGCCUGAACCAGCCAAGUCGCGUGAGGGAAGACGGUCCUAUGGAUUGUAAACCUCUUUUGUCGGGGAGCAAAAGACGCCACGCGUGGCGUUCCGAGAGUACCCGAAGAAAAAGCAUCGGCUAACUCCGUGCCAGCAGCCGCGGUAAUACGGAGGAUGCGAGCGUUAUCCGGAUUUAUUGGGUUAAAAGGGUGCGCAGGCGGAAGAUCAAGUCAGCGGUAAAAUUGUGGGGCUCAACCACUUCGAGCCGUUGAAACUGGUUGUCUUGAGUGAGUGAGAAGUAUGCGGAAUGAGUGGUGUAGCGGUGAAAUGCAUAGAUAUCACGCAGAACUCCGAUUGCGAAGGCAGCAUACCGGCGAUCAACUGAAGCUCAUGCACGAAAGUGUGGGUAUCGAACAGGAGUAGAUACCCUAGUAGUC